UCGGAUAAGGAACGCUGCGACAGGUACUCCUGCCAGGCUUAUCCAAUGUUUCAUUUGUAAAACGGCGUUCAUUAUUA
rnacentral:ncRNA from 2 species